rnacentral:pre_miRNA from 1 species
AGUGGAAUUGCUGAGUAAUAUGGUAACUCUAUGUUUAACAUUUUGAGGAACUGCCAAACUUUUCUCCAAAGUAACUGCACCAUUUUGUAUUCCUACCAGCAAU